GGGUUGUGAGGUUAAGCGACUAAGCGUACACGGUGGAUGCCCUGGCAGUCAGAGGCGAUGAAGGACGUGCUAAUCUGCGAUAAGCGUCGGUAAGGUGAUAUGAACCGUUAUAACCGGCGAUUUCCGAAUGGGGAAACCCAGUGUGUUUCGACACACUAUCAUUAACUGAAUCCAUAGGUUAAUGAGGCGAACCGGGGGAACUGAAACAUCUAAGUACCCCGAGGAAAAGAAAUCAACCGAGAUUCCCCCAGUAGCGGCGAGCGAACGGGGAGCAGCCCAGAGCCUGAAUCAGUGUGUGUGUUAGUGGAAGCGUCUGGAAAGGCGCGCGAUACAGGGUGACAGCCCCGUACACAAAAAUGCACAUGCUGUGAGCUCGAUGAGUAGGGCGGGACACGUGGUAUCCUGUCUGAAUAUGGGGGGACCAUCCUCCAAGGCUAAAUACUCCUGACUGACCGAUAGUGAACCAGUACCGUGAGGGAAAGGCGAAAAGAACCCCGGCGAGGGGAGUGAAAAAGAACCUGAAACCGUGUACGUACAAGCAGUGGGAGCACGCUUAGGCGUGUGACUGCGUACCUUUUGUAUAAUGGGUCAGCGACUUAUAUUCUGUAGCAAGGUUAACCGAAUAGGGGAGCCGAAGGGAAACCGAGUCUUAACUGGGCGUUAAGUUGCAGGGUAUAGACCCGAAACCCGGUGAUCUAGCCAUGGGCAGGUUGAAGGUUGGGUAACACUAACUGGAGGACCGAACCGACUAAUGUUGAAAAAUUAGCGGAUGACUUGUGGCUGGGGGUGAAAGGCCAAUCAAACCGGGAGAUAGCUGGUUCUCCCCGAAAGCUAUUUAGGUAGCGCCUCGUGAACUCAUCUCCGGGGGUAGAGCACUGUUUCGGCAAGGGGGUCAUCCCGACUUACCAACCCGAUGCAAACUGCGAAUACCGGAGAAUGUUAUCACGGGAGACACACGGCGGGUGCUAACGUCCGUCGUGAAGAGGGAAACAACCCAGACCGCCAGCUAAGGUCCCAAAGUCAUGGUUAAGUGGGAAACGAUGUGGGAAGGCCCAGACAGCCAGGAUGUUGGCUUAGAAGCAGCCAUCAUUUAAAGAAAGCGUAAUAGCUCACUGGUCGAGUCGGCCUGCGCGGAAGAUGUAACGGGGCUAAACCAUGCACCGAAGCUGCGGCAGCGACNNNNNNNNNGCUUAUGCGUUGUUGGGUAGGGGAGCGUUCUGUAAGCCUGUGAAGGUGUGCUGUGAGGCAUGCUGGAGGUAUCAGAAGUGCGA
rnacentral:rRNA from 1 species